rnacentral:rRNA from 1 species
AGAGUUUGAUCAUGGCUCAGGACGAUCGCUGGCGGCGUGCUUAACACAUGCAAGUCGAACGGAAAGGCCCUUCGGGGUACUCGAGUGGCGAACGGGUGAGUAACACGUGGGUGAUCUGCCCUGCACUUUGGGAUAAGCCUGGGAAACUGGGUCUAAUACCGAAUAUGACCACGCUCUUCAUGGGGUGUGGUGGAAAGCUUUUGCGGUGUGGGAUGGGCCCGCGGCCUAUCAGCUUGUUGGUGGGGUAAUGGCCUACCAAGGCGACGACGGGUAGCCGGCCUGAGAGGGUGACCGGCCACACUGGGACUGAGAUACGGCCCAGACUCCUACGGGAGGCAGCAGUGGGGAAUAUUGCACAAUGGGCGCAAGCCUGAUGCAGCGACGCCGCGUGAGGGAUGACGGCCUUCGGGUUGUAAACCUCUUUCAAUAGGGACGAAGCGCAAGUGACGGUACCUAUAGAAGAAGCACCGGCCAACUACGUGCCAGCAGCCGCGGUAAUACGUAGGGUGCGAGCGUUGUCCGGAAUUACUGGGCGUAAAGAGCUCGUAGGUGGUUUGUCGCGUUGUUCGUGAAAACUCACAGCUUAACUGUGGGCGUGCGGGCGAUACGGGCAGACUAGAGUACUGCAGGGGAGACUGGAAUUCCUGGUGUAGCGGUGGAAUGCGCAGAUAUCAGGAGGAACACCGGUGGCGAAGGCGGGUCUCUGGGCAGUAACUGACGCUGAGGAGCGAAAGCGUGGGGAGCGAACAGGAUUAGAUACCCUGGUAGUCCAA